GGACAAGUCCCUUGCAUAUUGUGGUUCGUGUCGCUUCUUGAGACCAGGAAAGAAGACCAUUGUCGGUGCACCUCCUCUGCCUGCCCAGCUUCAGUCCAGAGCAGUGAUUCCCAGCCAUGAGAACUCUUGCCCUCCUCCCUGCUUGUCUCCUGCUGGCCCUGAUACCACUGGCUGAGCCUCGCCCAGGACUUACUGACCAAGUUGACAUUGAGAUGCUCAGUGAGGGAAAGGACCAUGUCACUGUCCUCUCCUUCCUAGAGGAAAAAAGUACCAGUGUUAGAGAUGCAGGCGCAUGGGCACACCGGCGCUGCCGAUGCAAACUACGCUGUGGUUGUGGAGAACUCACCCUAGGAUAAUGCCCAUGCUGGAAUCGAAUCUACAGAUCGUGUUGCCACUAACCAUCCUGUGAAAAACAAAAUUUUGUAGCUUGCUUUGAGGCCUAGGAGAAUUGAAAACAUCUCUCACCUAUGUCUUCCUUUUUUUUUUUUCUUCAAUAAAUUGCUUGGAAUUGC